rnacentral:rRNA from 1 species
UACGUAGGGUGCGAGCGUUAAUCGGAAUUACUGGGCGUAAAGCGUGCGCAGGCGGUUUUGUAAGUCUGUCGUGAAAUCCCCGGGCUUAACCUGGGAAUGGCGAUGGAGACUGCAAGGCUAGAGUUUGGCAGAGGGGGGUAGAAUUCCACGUGUAGCAGUGAAAUGCGUAGAGAUGUGGAGGAACACCGAUGGCGAAGGCAGCCCCCUGGGUCAAAACUGACGCUCAUGCACGAAAGCGUGGGGAGCAAACAGG